CAAAGCACUGCGAUGGUCCCAACGGAUGUUUACACAACGUGAAUUUUGUCUAGUGCUAUGAAUGUCCAAGUGAAGAAAUUCAACCAUGCGGGGGUAAACGGUCGGAGUAACUAUGACUCUUUUAAGGUAGCCAAAUGCCUCUUCAUCUAAUUAGUGAUUCGUAUGAAUGUAUUAAUAAGAUUCCCACUGUCUCUGUCUAAUAUACAGCGAAACCACAGCCAAGGGAACAUGAUUGGCAGAAUCAACGGGGAAAAAAGACCAUUUUGAGCUUGAAUCAAGUCCGACUUUAUGAAAUGACUUGAGAGGUGUAGUAUAAGUGGGAGUUGAAAGGCGAAAGUGAAAUACCACUACUUUUAACGUUAUUUUACUUAUUUCGUGAAUCGGAAGCGGGGGACUACCCUCUUUUUGGACCCAAGACUCGAUUUGCGGGUCGAUCAGGGGGAAGACAUUGUCAAGUGGGGAGUUUGGCUGGGGUGGCACAUCUAUUACAAGAUAACUCAGGUGUCCUAAGAUGAGCUAAAUGAAAAUAGAAAAAUAGUGUGGAUCAGAAGGACAAAAGCUCGUUUGAUCCUGAUUUCCAGUACGAAUACGAACCGUGAAUGUGUGGCCUAACGAUCUUUUAGACUUUCAGAGUUCUAAGCUGGAGGUGUCAGAAAAGUUACCACAAGGAUAACUAGCUUGUGGCAGCCAAGCUAUAUAGCGAAAUUUCUAUUUGAUCCUUCGAUGUCGGCUCUUCCUAUCAUUGUGAAGCAAAAUUCACCAAGUGUUGGAUUGUUCACCCACAAAUAGGGAACGUGAGCUGGGUUUACACCAUCGUAAGAGAGGUUAGUUUUACCCUACUGAUGACAGUGUCGCAAUAGUAAUUAAACCUAGUAAGAGAGGAACCGUUAUGUGUAGGCCUCGGCCAGGCAUCACCAGCGAUGGCCUGCACACAUCGAUCAACCGAGGUCGCACGUGGCCUGCCAAAAUAAAUUGUGUCCUGCAGACACCGAUUUGCCGACGUCGGACGAGGCCUGCCUACAUAGAUCAGCCGACGUCGGAUGUGGCCUUUUCCCAUCGUCCGUGG
rfam:Solanum tuberosum cultivar DM 1-3 516 R44 contig01347_1, whole genome shotgun sequence.